CACGUAGGGCGCGAGCGUUGUCCGGAAUUAUUGGGCGUAAAGGGCUCGUAGGCGGUUUGUUGCGUCGAGAGUGAAAAUCCGGAGCUUAACUCCGGACUUGCUUUCGAUACGGGCAGACUAGAGGUAGGCAGGGGAGAGUGGAAUAUCCGGUGUAGCGGUGGAAUGCGCAGAUAUCGGAUGGAACACCGGUGGCGAAGGCGGCUCUCUGGGCCUUACCUGACGCUGAGGAGCGAAAGCGUGGGGAGCGAACAGGAUUAGAUACCCUGGUAGUCCACGCCGUAAACGUUGGGCGCUAGGUGUGGGGGACUUCCACGUCCUCCGUGCCGCAGCUAACGCAUUAAGCGCCCCGCCUGGGGAGUACGGCCGCAAGGCUAAA
rnacentral:rRNA from 1 species